rnacentral:rRNA from 1 species
UUGACCUCAAAUCAGGUAGGAUUACCCGCUGAACUUAAGYAUAUCAAUAAGCGNANGAAAAGAAACUAA